UAGGAGAGAGAGGCCCCUUGGAGAAGUCCAGAGUGUUUCAUACAAGAGCUGACCAUGAAGACUGACUAUAGCUUGGCUGGAUCUAGAAAGUUACCCUCACAGCUGCUAAUGUUUGGCGGUUCGAGUUAUGGCUCAGUUUGAAAACCACUGGCCAGAAAUGAGAUGCAAGGUGCCAUAAAAGACGGUCAUCUUCAUGCACCCAGGGAUUGAGGCUGUCCCAGUUCACCUAGCAAAGCCAGCUCUUGGUCGAGACUUGAAGCUUCUUUCAGCCUGCCUCACCUCACAGUGCCUUCAAAGGUGGCAAGGGAAGGACAACAAUGGGAAUGAUGACAGCACGCACAGGAGCUAGACUGUCUUUCUGAAGUCACAGCCGCAUGCCACCACUUACGGGAAGAAUGCCUGCCCCAUUCGUUCUUUAUCAGUCAAUCCUGGGUCAGUGAGGACACUGAGGUAGCUAGCUACUUCACAUCAGACCAAAACAAUAGCUCCAGGAAACAGUAAAUCCUGCUAAGUCAUGCAUCCUCCUCUGUCCUUAUCACAAGCAGCUGAGCCUCAGUGAGCCUCUGGGUUGAUCGCUAAGCCAAUGAGGAGGGAAUCAUGCUUCCUCAGACACGUCUGGCCAGGAAGAACUAGGAGCAACAUGUUCAAACUGUUCCAAGCAAAGGAGGUUUUCUGGUGAAGCUUCAGUGUGGAAUUCCCAAGAAGCUAAGAACUAACGUGGAGUAAGCCUUUGUGGAAAAUCUAAUCAGAACUAAAGCAAACUGGUCAUUCAAUUUA